rnacentral:rRNA from 1 species
UAGGGAAUUUUGCGCAAUGGGGGAAACCCUGACGCAGCAAUACCGCGUGAACGACGAAGCCCUUCGGGGUGUAAAGUUCUGUCAGUGGGGACGAAUUUUGACGGUACCCACAAAGGAAGCAUCGGCUAACUACGUGCCAGCAGCCGCGGUAAGACGUAGGAUGCAAGCGUUGUCCGGAAUCAUUGGGCGUAAAGCGUUCGUAGGCGGCAUGUCAAGUCUGAUGUUAAAGCCCGGAGCUCAACUCCGGUUCGGCAUUGGAUACUGGCAAGCUAGAGUGCAAUAGAGGUAGGGGGAAGUUCCUAGUGUAGCGGUGAAAUGCGUAGAUAUUAGGAGGAACACCGGUGGCGAAAGCGCCCUACUGGGUUGUAACUGACGCUGAGGAACGAAAGCCAGGGUAGCAAAUGGGAUUAGAUACCCCAGUAGUCCUGGCCGUAAACGAUGGAUACUAGGUGUUGCGGGUAUCGACCCCCGUAGUGCCGUAGUUAACGCGAUAAGUAUCCCGCCUGGGGAGUACGCACGC